GAAUCCCUCAGUUUUUUUAUGCUUUUGUUAAGCUUCUCACGCUUUACUGCCACUGCCGGGGACUCCUCCAACAUCCUCUCAAUUCCCCCACCGUAAGGUCCCAACAACUCAUUCACAAUCUCAGCUUCCAUCUCUUUGUUCACAAGGUUGAAAACAGACAGCUGCAAGUGCAAUGCCAUGCAGUCCACAAGCCUCCUCAAAACAACCUUCCAAUAAGCAAUCAUUCUCAUUUUAAGGUCAUAAGCUUGAGCUAACACAUGCGGGUACUUCCUCAGAACACCGACUUCCACUUCCCCGAUGCCUUCUAUAUCUAUGAUAGAAGGCUUCUUCUCAUCAGUUAAGACUCCAUGAAUGAAUUCGUUUUGACUAGCCAUCAGCUUGUUCCAUUCGGAAACAUAAUCACCAUCACAUGUAUAAUCUGUCAGCUUUUCCAUCUCUACAAGCUCCAGCAUCCACUUGAUUGACCUCUCCUUCAUCUUGGCCAUUAGACUAUGGCCGGCACGCCUUGCUGACAGCUGCAGCUGAUGAUAGUUAUCCGUAUAAUGCAUCAACACAGAAAUAACCACCUCUUCAAUGUAGUUCCACACUUUUUCCUCAAAUGCAAUCGGAAUACUCGAAAUUUCAUUCACUUUUGCCUGCAAGAUAAUGAGGAAAGCAUUGCGUGGAAGGAAGUUCGGAAGUGAAAUACCUUUGGCCUCCUCCAAGAUCCUGAUCUCCUCCAUCAAGAAGUUGCUCUUUGCAUCAGUUUCAGCACAUCUGUGAAGUUCAUCCGAGUACUGGUUGAGCAUCUCAACCAAUCUAGCAGUGCAGUGCAUGCGAUUGUCUUCCGCGUACUCCUGAAAUUCUCCUCUCAAAAGAAUCUUCCUAAGCGAUUCCUUAGCCAAGCCAGUGAUUUGCAUAAAAGCCGUCAUGGCCUCAGCAACCGAUGAAAGACUCUUUGGCAUUUUGUUCAGCUCCAUAAUGCAGAAGUUCAGCCUGUCAUUGAUCUUCUUCACUAUCUCAGGUAUAUUUCUUGCUAUGCUGUUUGCUUGAAUUUGGACCAGCUUCUGUGCUAAAACUGGAAUGCCGACAAUGGACUUGUCAAUCUUCGAAAGCAGAGGAUGGGUUUGAAAUAGUUCAUGAGCCAUCACCGCUGCCUCCUCAUCAGUUUCGUCACCAAUCCUGUUCCUUACACAGACAUAACCAAGACCAAUGUUUACAUCAUCUCCAGUGACCUUCUCAAGUAGUCCUUCCGGUGCCUUGUCCACUUUCGUAACCACAGCGAGCGUCCUCUCACCAGUUUUAUCUACACUUUGUGACAUCCGGAUUGACUCACACGUAGUAAAAUCCACCGUAGCAGACAAUACAUUCAGAAUAAUACUUUCCUCCGGCUUAAUAUACUCCAUGAUCAUAUCUUUGAUCUGAUCAUAGAUAUUUUCAGGUUGGCCAUGGACUGGAACCCUUGUGAUUCCCGGAAGAUCAACCAUAGUCAGAUCCGGAACCCCAUACUUCUUCACCAACAAAGUAAGUGGCGUGUUUGAAAUUCCCUUACCUCCCCCCGCAAUAGAAUUAGUAGCUUUCACAAUAUCUUUGGUGAUAUUUUCUUCAUCAGUACGAUCAACUCUGCCAUUGUACUCCAAGGAAAGUUCAGGCUGAGGACUCGAGUGGUGUUCGAGCCUCAUAAUAAGAGGCACUCUCGUGCAGAUGCCUUGGCCCCGAGGUAGGCUGAUGCCGGCCAAGGAUUCGAGCACGCUAGACUUCCCGGAUGACUGGUCUCCGACCACCACAAUCGUUGGCAGCUGAAUGCCUUCAUCCAUCACCUUCAAGCUGCGUAACUUGUCUACCGCAUCCAGAAGAGGGCGGAUCUUGUCGUUAUAGGACGACACAAUGGGUGCGCAUUUGAGGGGUACUGCGUCUAGUCCUGCCUGAACCAUUGCGAGGGAGCCUUCACCGUUUAUAACUGUGCGACUCGAUUCCAUUUUCCUUGGUCCUUGCGUUUCUGAAUUAUAGCAAGUCAAAACAAUGGUGAAAAAUCUAGAGGGAAACCGAGAUUGUAGAGAGAUGAGAGAGAAUUCGAAGAUGGAAAAUGUUCUGUAUUGGGUUUAUGACUUAAUGGAGUAAAAUGUUCUAUUUAUAGCUACUGCUAUAUAUCAUUCUUAGCCCUUAAGCAACUUAACUGACUCUCAAUCAACAAUAGCAACACAUCUAACAAAAAUGCUACUUUUCCGAUAUAUUUGUACCAUCAUUUGCUUACAUUGAUAAAUCGGACUCAUACUCAUAAGCUGACAUGGCAGCCACAUGACUUAAAAGUAAGAAGAUUACUUGUCAGCGAAGAUAUCAGUCAGGAAGAAGUGAGAAAGCUGGGUUUAGUAAGUGCCUUAGGCUUAAAGGCUCCUAGUUGUAUGUAUAAUUGUUCAGCAAAACCUAUCGAAGUAAAUGACAACCAGCCUUUUCAAAACCGCAUGCUGAGAGAGUUGUGAUUUGGACUUCCAAACGUUCAGCAAACCAAACCGCUUGCGAGCCUUUGAACUUCUAAACCCUAAUCAGUGUAAAUGUAAUAUGGACAGUUAACUGAUAACCAUUUUUUGUGCUUGAUGCUCUUGAACUUCAGUCAACCUUUAUAUAUUAUUCAUUCAAAUAAUCGAUGACUAGCUAGCCAAUGUAAGUUGUAACCCAACAGAGACGAGAUGUUGAAGAAAAUUAAAUAUUUUUUGUAAUUUGGUAAGACAAACAAAGGCACCCAUUGGAGAAAGGGAAGUGCUAGCAGCCUUUGCCCUAACAUUUGUGUUUGGACCUCUUCACUUUAACAACUAACAGGUAUCAUUUUCUAUACAAAAAAGCAAGAAUUUUAAAGCUUUUGUCUAGGAAUUAACGAUGAGAAAUAUAAAAUAUACAUUAUUAUGUCAUUCAUUAAAAUGAAAAUUUUCAAAUGCAAAAGUUAGUGCAAAAGUGUAUUUCUCUUAGAAAAAUUCAAUCUAACAACCAAAAUUAAAGUUAACAAAAAAAAGUAGAGAACUUAAUUCAUAUUGAAUCUACCCUUAUGAUCGUGCUCCAGAAAAAUUGAGAAGGAUGCAGGGUUUUUGAAUUUGGUAAAGCUUAAGGAUUAAGGUUGCUGUUUUUUUUUUUUUUUUUUUUUUUUUUUUUUUUUUUUGGAGAAAAGUGGAAGAGAAAGAGCCUUUGAAGAUUCCUUUCUGAGUUUUCACAUUGUGGGGAUUUUGUUUCACUUUUACCAUUGUAAGACCAUAGAUAAUGGAUGCUGACAUGGUUGGACAGAUGUCGAAUAGUGGUGUGGUAUGCCCAAUCGGUUUAGGUUGCUGAAAAUAGCAACUUUAACUAAAAAUAGUGCAGGACUUUAAAAGAGGAAGGGGAAAUAAGAGUUUGAGGAAAAAGAGGCAACUUUAAUUCAUCAUUUCAUAGGUUCUUUACGCUCUCCAUUAUUACAUAUUUAUGCUCCUCAUAAAAGAGAAAAUAGAGUUUUAACGAAAAGCCCGCGGUACUGUUCACUUUAAUGAAAAACCACAUUUUUACACUAAAAAGUCAAAUCUGGUACUAUUCAUAUUACUCUUUAUUUUGUUCUUAUCGUUAAAAUUCAAAGUUUUAAAGCAUUUUUCAUUAGUUUUCCUAAGAGAACAACCCUAGCUACUUGGACAUAAAAAAAAAGGCUAGUACGGGCAAGUUGCAAGAGGAGAAGUAGUGGGCUCAAGUAAAUGGGCUUAAUAACUCCCCCCUCUCCUUGAGAAUAGGCCUGACCUUAGGUCAAGAAAUCGAGGUAACGGGCCAAGAUGUCGUCAGCUUCCUCCCAGGUGACAUCUUCAGUGGGUAGGCCAACCCACUUGAUCAACCAUUUUGUCGCAGCUUUAUUUUUUUUUCUUGAAUAUGCCCUUGUCUAAAACUCUUUCUGGUUGCCAGUGUAGAACCCCAGUGGAGUCGAUAGGAGGCAAAACUGACAGUGGAGGAGAAAUACUACCAAUCUUUUGUUUAAGGAGAGACACAUGAAAGACGGGGUGGAUUUUGGAGUCUAAAGGCAAACGAAGCUGAUAUGCUACGAAACUGAUGCGCUUAGUUAUCUGAAAAGGUCCAUAGAACUUGGGUGCCAGCUUGUUUGUUGUUCUAGUAGCCACUGAUUGUUAGCGGUAUGGUUAAAGCUUCAGGUAAACCCAGUCACCAACAUUAAAUUCCCGCUCAGUUCUCUUGUUAUCAUAGACUUGUCUCAUUUUGUUCUCUGCAAGCUGCAAAUUUGUUCUCAUAAGACAGAUUAAUUUGUCCUUAUCCUGUAUUGCAGCAUCAAUUGAGUGUACCGUCGUGGAGCCGAGCAUAUACAUGCAAAGGUGGUUCAAUGUCAUAAACAGCCUGAUAUAGAGACAUUUUGAUGGAAGAUUGGAAGCUUGUAUUAUACCACCAUCUAGCCCAGGGAAUGAGAGAAGACCAAUUGGUGGGUUUGUCUAUUGAGAAACAUCGAAGAAAAUGUUCCAAUGUGCAGUUAAGGACUUUCAUUUGCCUAUUCGUUUGAGGGUGGUAACCUAAACUUAGGCAAAGUUUGUUGCCUUGGAGUUUAAAGAACUCUUGCCAAAAGUUACUAAGAAAAUUGGGUCGCGAUCUGAAACGAUCUAUUUUGGCAUACCAUGGAGUCAGAAAACCUCAUUGCUGAAAGUAUCAGCUACAAAGGCAACUGUGUAUGGGUGCUUUAAUGGGAUAAAGUGGCCAUACUUUGAUAGGCGAUUGAUGACAACUAGGAUCACGGUGUACGCGUUGGAAAAUGGGAGCCCUUUGACAAAAUCAAGAGUGAUGUCCUGUCAUAUGCCAGUGGGGAUGAGCAAGGGAUGCAGUAACCUAGGAGGGUGUUUUGUAUGCAUUAAGCCACAAUUUUUUUUUGUUUCCUUUCGAAUUCCCGGCCAUAAAACUUUUUUGGAGAGUCUUUUGUAUGUUCAAAGGAAGCCCAAGUGACCAUCUUAGAGAGAUGCAUGGAAUUCAUCCAAGAGUUUAGGUUGCCAUUGGGAUGUGAGUAGUGGGACAAAGAUCUGUUGCUUGUAGUGCAACACAUCAUUUAUAAUUGAGAACCCUUUGAUUGAAGUGUUGGGUAUUGGAACUAAAAGAUUCCAAACCUUUUGCACUUCUAGAUCCUAUGCAUAAGACUGUUGCAACUGAGGAAUGCAAUCAAAUAUAGGGGUAGAGAGGCCUAUUAAGAGCAAAAGUUCUUGUUGGCAGGAGAUAGCAUAUGGAGCACUGUUUUGAGAACCCGACCUAUACUCGACCGAGUAGUUGUACCCCAACAAUUUCACCAGCCAUUUUUAAUUUUUUUCACAAAAACUGUAAGUUAUAACUCACGUUUUCCAAUCGAUUUUAAGAACUUUUACAAGAUUCAUUAUAAGCCAAAAUUUGAGUCGUUUUAGUCGCACCACAUGUUUUCUAAAAUUAAUUUAGGACAUCCCAAAUAUUUUUCAACACCUACAAAUUUCUUUGGUGGCUUCACUAUUAGUUUAUACUAUUUUUCUAACUCAUAGUAACAACGAAAAAAUUUCUCAGCAUGACCAAAAUGAUUGAUGGUGCAUCAGAGACUACUUUUAUCGAUUUCAAAUUUGAAGGACUAAAGUAAGGAGUUAUGCCAGAAAGUGGCCCUCUACCACAGUGGUGGAGAGGAGUAUUGGCCUUACACUACGACAGAGCUUCGAACCAUGACGGCUCCCUAAUCUAACAUCUAAUUAAAAAAUCUAUUGUUUGACGAAGAAAAAAAAGUAAGGAGUUAUGUCAAUUUCAAAAUCCGUUUUGGCCCCUUUUUAACAUGGAUGGAGGGUUUCAAAUUCCUUGUUACUACCUUUUAGGGGUUUUAUUAAAUUUUAUGAAUUUUUUUGUUGGUAUAUUUGAGCGUGUCUUUAAAAUGAUUAAAAUUGUUUUAAUAUAAUAAAAUAAAAAGUGUUUAUGACAACAUUUUGACCAAAAAAAGGACUUUAUGGAGAGGUCUAUGAGCAAAAUGCAACUCUUACUACCUAUUUGUACUAUAAUUUGUACCACUAAUAAAGAUGAGACUCACAUGCGUUGGCGAGCCUUACCUCUAUUAGAGAUAUAGUAGAAAUAUAUGGUAAAUGUAGCAUUACUCGUCUAUGAGUGUUUUCAACGGAGUACAAUUCUCUGUCAUCCUAUUCCUAGUGUGGUUUAGUCCAUACUAAGUGUAUGGAUUCUAACAAACGAUCAAUUAAAACAUGAAAUCUAAUAUGGACAUUUAAUUAAAUGUUUAUUAAUAUUUACGGUGCGGUUCGGUUUCGGUGUAGUUUUCAAAAGCCAAAACCGAAACCAAACCGUUUUCUAUGUUGCGGUUCGGUUUCAAAACCGAAACCGUUUCAAAACCGCAAAACCAAACCAUUCGGUGCGGUUUGAUUUGGUUCGUGUUUUGGUUUCGGUUUUCGGUUCUAAGUGCCAAUCCCUAGGAGAGCGUGUCCCUUUUUUUUGAAAAAUAUGGAUCAUUUCCCUUAAGCUCCUCCUACACACACACACACACACACACACACACACACACACACAUAUAUAUAUUAAAAUGAUAACCUUUCUUGGAUAGAACUGAGCAUAUAAACAUGCAAAGGUAAUGUUAGAGAGACCAAAGUUUUAAACAAAAUAAUGUGUUACCAAUAAAAAAUAAGCACGUUAAUCAACGCUAAAGUAAUAAUUCAAUUAUCAAUAAGCACAUCAUUUGGUUUGUAAAUUUGAUUUAAAAAAUUUGGUCUCCCUAACAUUAUCCAACCUGCAAACAAGUUUAAUUAUCUUAGACAAGCAACAUUAUUUACAUAUUUACUUUCAGGCAAUUACAAAUUUGACGUCGAAAAGAAGAUUUAAGGAAAAUGGUUUUCUUAUUAAUUAGGAUUUUUACAAUGCGUGUCGCAUUCUUUACCUAAAGUUUUUAUGUCUGUCAGAUUGGUUAUGAAAGCUCACUGUCAUAUUAAUAAACGGUAUUAUAAGCAGAAAACAUGAGACAAAAAAUAGGAGUUAAACUGUAUGUAAGAGGAAAUCGCACUUAAAUUUCAUUAAUAACAGUAAACUUGACAAGGAUUACCACAAUCAUACGACUACGGACUAUUACACAACAAGAACACAAGGGAAACAAAAGAACUUAAAAACAAAAGUUGACUAACAAACAACCACCCACAUCAGACAACAGAAAGCUAAUUGCCAAGUUAGUUAAUCACCAUAAGUGAUAAUGCUGUCCAUAAUCUUGGCCACCACCUCCUUCGAAUCCCUCAGUUUUUUUAUGCUUUUGUUAAGCUUCUCACGCUUUACUGCCACUGCCGGGGACUCCUCCAACAUCCUCUCAAUUCCCCCACCGUAAGGUCCCAUCAACUCAUUCACAAUCUCAGGCUCCAUCUCUUUGUUCACAAGGUUGAAAACAGACAGCUGCAAGUGCAAUGCCAUGGAGUCCACAAGCCUCCUCAAAACAACCUUCCAAUAAGCAAUCAUUCUCAUUUUAAGGUCAUAAGCUUGAGCUAACACAUGCGGGUACAUCCUCAGAACACCGACUUCCACUUCCCCGAUGCCUUCUAUAGUUAUGAUAGAAGGUUUAUACUCGUCAGUUAAGACUUCAUGAAUGAAUUGAUUUUGACUAGCCAUCAACUUCUUCCAUUCGGAAACAUAAUCAUCAUCACAUGUAUAAUCCGUUAGCUUUUCCAUCUCUACAAGCUCCAGCAUCCACUUGAUUGACCUUUCCUUCAUCUUGGCCAUUAGAUUAUGGCCGGCACGCCUGGCUGACAGCUGCAACUGAUGAUAGUUCUCCGUAUAAUGCAUCAACACAGAAAUAACCACCUCUUCAAUGUAGCUCCACACUUUUUCCUCAAAUGCUAUCGGAAUACUCGAAAUUUCAUUCACUUUUCCUUGCAAGAUAAUGAGGAAAGCAUUGCGUGGAAGGAAGUUCGGAAGUGAAAUACCUUUGGCCUCCUCCAAGAUCUUGAUCCCCUCCAUCAAGAAGUUGCUCUUUGCACCAGUUUCAGCACAUAUGUGAAGUUCAUCCGAGUACUGUUUGAGCAUCUCAACCAAUCUAGCAGUGCAGUGCAUGCGAUUGUCGUCCGCAUAGUCCUCAAAUUCUCCUCUCAAAAAAAUCUUCCUAAGCGAUUCCUUAGCCAAGCCAAUGAUUUGCAUAAAGGCUGUCAUUGCCUCGGCAACAGAUGAAAGACUCUUUGGCAUUUUGUUCAGCUCCAUAAUGCAGAAGUUCAGCCUGUCAUUGAUCUUCUUCACUAUAUCGGGUAUAUUUCUUGCUAUGCUGUUUGCUUGAAUUUGGACCAGCUUCUGUGCUAAAACUGGAAUACCGACAAUGGACUUGUCAAUCUUCGAAAGCAGGGGAUGGGUUUGAAAUAGUUCAUGAGCCAUCGCCGCUGCCUCCUCAUAAGUUUCGUCACCAAUCCUGUUCCUUACACAGACAUAACCAAGACCAAUGUUUACAUCAUCUCCAGUGACCUUCUCAAGUAGUCCUUCCGGUGCCUUGUCCACUUUCGUAACCACAGCGAGCGUCCUCUCACCAGUUUUAUCUACACUUUGUGACAUCCGAAUUGACUCACACGUAGUAAAAUCCACCGUAGCAGACAACACAUUCAGAAUAAUACUUUCUUCCGGCUUAAUAUACUCCAUGAUCAUAUCUUUGAUCUGAUCAUAAAUAUUUUCAGGUUGGCCAUGGACCGGAACCCUUGUGAUUCCCGGAAGAUCAACCAUAGUCAGAUCCGGAACCCCAUUCUUCUUCACCAACAAAGUAAGUGGCGUGUUCGAAAUUCCCUUACCUCCUCCCGCAAUAGAAAUAGUAGCUUUCACAAUGUCUUUGGCGAUAUUGUCUUCAUCAGUACGAUCAACUCUGCCAUUGUACUCCAGGGAAAGUUCAGGCUGAGGACUCGAGUGGUGUUCCAGCCUCAUAAUAAGAGGCACUCUCGUGCAGAUGCCUUGGCCCCGAGGGAGGCUGAUGCCGGCCAAGGAUUCGAGCACGCUGGACUUCCCCGAUGACUGGUCUCCGACCACCACAAUCGUUGGCAGCUGAAUGCCUUCAUCCAUCACCAUCAAGCUGCGUAACUUGUCUACCGCAUCCAGAAGAGGGCGGAUCUUGUCGUUGUAGGAUGACACAAUGGGUGCGCAUUUGAGAGGUACUGCGUCUAGUUCUGCCUGAACCAUGGCGAGGGAGCCUUCACCGUUUAAAUCUGUGCAACUCGAUUCCAUUUGCCUUGGUCCUUCCGUUUCUGAAUUAUAGCAAGUGAAAAUAAUGGUGAAAAUUCUAGAGAGAAACCGAGAUAAUUUCAAGCUUAAUUAGCUAAAGAAUUGAGGUUCUCUGGCAGUUUACCCUCCAGUUUAUAACAUUUUUUUACUAAGAAUGUUUUCAGGUAAGGGAAAACACCACUUUCGUGAUCCAGUAGGAAACGGAGCCUUUCUUUCAACCGCUGCAUUUCCACAAACUCAAGAGACUCUAAUACCCGAAAAGGCAAGUUACGCUCUCCUUAAAACUCAGCACCAAUUCGAAGAUGGAGUAAAAUGUUCUGUAUUGAGUUUGUGACUUAGUGGAGUAAAAUGUCCUAUUUAUAGUGAUGCAGUACAAGACUCUCAUGCAUGUAUUGGAAUCUACCAAGAGUUGGAACCAUCAAAUAUAUUUAAUGGAGUUUUAGAGCAACACAACUAAUUAAGUAGUCAUUUAAGACCAUUUUAAAUAUUUUGGGUAGAGCAAAAGUCCAAUUCGGACUAGAGUUUCAUUGUGUUGUAUUCCUUAUAAAUAUAUGUACUAAUUGUAUUCCUUAAAUGACUACUUAAUUAGUUGUGUUGCUCUAAAACUCCAUUAAAUAUAUUUGAUGGUUCCAACUCUUGGUAGAUUCCAAUACAUGCAUGAGAGUCUUGAUUACUACAUCAUUUAGCUACUGCUAUGUGUCAUUCUUAGCCUUCAAGCAGCUUAACUGACUCUCAGUCAACAAUAACAACACAUCCAACAGCUUAAGGAUUGCUGUUUUUAGUGGAGAAAUGUGGAAGAGAAAGAGCCUUUGAAGAUUCCUUUAUGAGUUUGCACAUUGUGGGAGAUUUUGUUUCACUUUUACCAUUGUCAGGCCAUAAUCAUGGAUGUUGACAUGGUUGGACAGAUGUCGAAUGAUGGUGUCAUUGGGCCCCCACCAUCAAAGAAAAAGCAGUCCCCAUGGGGCAUCUAAGCGGAAAGAGAAUCCAUUAUAGUAUAAAGAUUUAGCAUUCACACUCAUAGCUUCGACAUCAAUCAUUUUCUUCCUUGCCGAUGUUCUUUAUAUUUUGCUUUCUUUAUUUCUUGAUAAGUUGUUUCUGGAUGAUAUUUUUUUAGAAUCUCUUGGAUGUCGUAUGCGUGCUACGUCACUCGUUUGUAUCAAAACACGCAUAAACAUUAUUUCUUUCAAUCGAGAUUUAAAAUUAAAAGUCUACAUACACUUUUUUGUUGUAAUUUGACUGAUGGACCAUAAUGUUGGAUUGUGAACUACCUUAGUACAUAUGUGUAGAAGUGUGGCAGGUGACGUAAGCAUAAAUAAUCAUUUUAACAUGCAUGUUAGCAAAAUGUUAAAUUGUGUUUAAUCAUAUUAAAUUAAUUUAUGUAUUGGUUUUGUUCAGGUAUAAUAAAAUUAAAAACACAUGUAUAAACUUAGUGUAAGUUUUAGGAUUCUCACCUUUAGAUUUCAUAGGUGGACAAAUUCAAUGUUGUUAAAGAUCCCAAGUGUUAGCCCUCAACUAGUGUCUACACGAAUAAAUAUCUGGCUAGUGAAGCAAAAAAACGACAAUUUGCUAGAACUUUAUCCAUCAGGUAGGUGUUGCCAUAAAGGGAUUUGGUAUGGUGUUUUGUUUUUCAAUUCUCUAAAUUGGAAAACCUAUUUCUUUUCUCUCUAAUAUCUAUUUGCGAUUAUUGAAUUCUCACACUAUGUUACAUAGACCCCUUAGGCUUAUAAAAAGAACAAUCUGUAAUUAAGCCAAUUGUGUGUUGCACGCCCUAGGGAAAUUUUUUAGAAACUUUUGGGUUCACUAGUCUGUAUCACGUCACUCGCUUGUCUCAAGAAGAGAUCCUUUCACAUCACCAGUUUACCACACUAAAAUUUUGAAUUUAUUAGAUGGAUAAUACAAUUUGUUUAAUAAAUGACCAACUUUACAAAUAUUUUUGUGAAGUGAUUUCACACAUAUUUUUUAGCUUUUACACACCCAUGUUUAAUUUUAGAUGUUGAUUCCGUUUGAUUUAUUUAAUCUGGUGGCCAUAAAUAAAGAGAGGUACGUGGAAAACUAAAAAUGGUGUGUGAAAAUCCUUGACACUACUAAGCAUGAAUUUUAGUAAGAUGAAAAAAGACCUUCGCUUGAUACCCGUGGGAGGACGUGACAUGACUUCCUUUAUUGAAGGAUGAGGAAUGCUAAUGUGACUUUCAAAAGUAGGACUUUCUAAUGACUCUCUGCCACCUCAUAGCUAGUUUAAUGUCAAUUCAUUCACGUGCCAACAUUAUAACACAAAUGCUAGGAAGGCUACAUUUAUAGACAAAAUUUGUAUACUAAAUGACAUGAAAGUUGAUGAUUAUAUUAUUAUUUAAGCGUUGAUAAACGUGCUCAUUUUCUAUUGGUAACAAGUCAUUUAGUUUUCAAAUUUUGUCUACAAAUUUAGUCUCCAUAGCAUUACCUGCAUUAUAAAGUAUUGUGCCAAAUAUAUGAGCUGACAAAGAGUCCAUAGAGAGUCUCAAUUUUGAGUCUCAUUAGCAUUUAUCUUCAAGAAUUUAUCCACAUUCUCCUCACGUAAUAAUUUCACCAAAAAUGUUUUCUAAAUGCUCACUUAUCAAGAUUAAACCCCCGUUUGGUAUUUUAUUUUUUGGGUAAAAGACUGUUUACUACCCUCAUGUUUCGUGGUUUUCAACAUUUAGUACAUCAUGUUUUUUUCGUCUCAGAGUCAUACCUAAAGUGUAAAUUUUGGGACAGUCUCAUACAUCCGUUAGUCAAACUGUUAAGUUUUUCGUUAACUGUGACGUGGCGCACUGACUGGGCGCCACGUGUCAUCCACGUUUUUUUUUUUUCUUUUUCUUUUUUCUUUCUUUUCUUUUCUUCUUCUUCCUUCUUCUUCUUCUUCCUCCGACUGCAACUUUUUUUUUUUUUUUUGCUUCUUCCUUUUCCUUCUUCCUUCCUUCCUCCUUCCUUUCCCUUUCUUCCCCUUCUUCCUUCUUCUUCCUUCUUCUUCCUCCGAAAUCUGGGGAAUGUUUUUUUUUUUCUUUCUUCUUCUUCCUCCUUCCUUCCCCUUCUUCCUUCUUCUUCUUUCUCCUUCUUCUUCUUCUUCUUCUUCCUCCGAAAUCUGGGGAAGUUUGUUUUUUUUUUUCUUUCUUUCUUCUUCUUCCUCCUUCUUCUUCUUCUUCUUCUUCCUCAAAAAAAAAAAAAAAAAAACACUUUUAUCUUUUCUUCCUCUUCUUCUUCUUCUUCUUCUUCUUUCUCUUUCCUCCUUCCUUCUUCUCCUUCUUCUUCUUCUUCUUCUUCUUCCUCCGAAUCUGCCCAGAUUCAAUUUUUUUUUUCUUCCUCCUUCUUCUCCUUCUUCUUCUUCUUCCUCCGAAUUUGGGGGAAGAUGAAAGUGUUUUUUUUUUUUUGAGGAAGAAGAAGAAGAAGAAGAAGAAAGAAAGAAAAAAAAAAAAAACAUUCCCCAGAUUUCGGAGGAAGAAGAAGGAAGAAGAAGGAAGAAGGGGAAGAAAGGGAAAGGAAGGAGGAAGGAAGGAAGAAGCAAAAGGAAGAAGCAAAAAAAAAAAAAAAAAAACAAAAACAGAAAGUUGCAGUCGGAGGAAGAAGAAGAAGAAGGAAGAAGAAGAAAAGAAAAGAAAAAAAAAAGAAAAAAAAAAACGUGGAUGACACGUGGCGCCCAAUCAGUGCGCCACGUCACAGUUAACGAAAAACUUAACAGUUUGACUAACGGAUGUAUGAGACUGUCCCAAAAUUUACACUUUAGGUAUGACUCUGAGACGAAAAAAACUUGAUGUACUAAAUGUUGAAAACCACGAAACAUUAGAGUAGUAAACAGUCUUUUACCCUUAUUUUUUUCAACAAAAGUUGCUUCACUUUAAAGUUAAGCAGUAAGAAUGUGUUUGGUAAAAAUAAAUUAUUUUGCUUAUAUUAAAAGUAAUGCAUGUCCUCCAGACAGCAACUUUUAAAAGCAGCAUGUAGGUAAAGCUGUUUUUAAUAAAAAGCAGAAUUGAGCUUUCAAUGAAUAUUUUUAAUUCCUGUAAUAUGCUCAAUAAUUUUAGAAAAUAACAUUAUUUAUUCUUGUAGGCACAUUUUAUCAUUGGAGAACAAAGUGACCACCACUAUAAACCCUAACCUCUUACACUACCAUUGCCAUGAUCACCACCAUUGUUGCCACCACCACCACACUACAAUUGCGCCACCACCACUACAACCAUACACACCACCGCUACCUUUGCCAUCAUUACCACCACACCGCCGCCGCCGCCGCCACCACCACCAUAAACACAACUGCCACCAUCAAUGUUGUUGCCACCCCUACGACCAAUGUUGCCUCUGCAGCCCAACCACCACCACCAUCCCAACCCUUACCCUUAUCACUGUUGUCGUCGUCACCACCAACAUUGUUACGUCUAUUUUUGUCAUUAUAUACAAUUAUAAAUUAUCAAACGCUUUUACGCCGUUUUUCAUACUCAACACUUUUAAAAAUACAAUUCAUCUAACACUCAACUGCUUUAUUUUGUAGCAGAUUAUUCUUAAAGCACAUCAGAAGCACUUUUUUUUAAAGCACAUCAAUCUCAAAAUGGCCGUAAGAUUAUGAGUUUUUCAAUUGAGAUAAAUAUAUAAUUUAUUUGACCAAAACGAUUUUAAAUUAUUUGUAAUAAGAUCACGCGAAAGAAGAACAUAAACGUUACACAUGAAAUUAAACCAAAGCAAAUGAUUUUCUUGGGUUUUAACACCCAUAUAUUUUUUGUUGGUUUAUCAUUUUCACCGAGCUCCACCUCAUUUAUACUUAAAGAAAUGUAUUAUGUUCCGAUCCAGAAACCAAGCUCCACCUCAUCAAUACUUGGAUAAUUUGAUGCAUUACUUUUGUUUCCUUUCUCAAUUUGGAGGCCCAAACAAGAAACAAAGCUACACUAGACAAAGACAACUGCUGUAUAGUGGGUGUUUUAGAAACUUAAAGGAAAGAAACUCAAAAGCUUCAAUUUGUUUGUCGUGCUCCUUUAACUUCCUCUUUUACUGUUAUACAAGCGAAAACAAGAGAGAUUUAAUGAGUAAAGGGAUACUUUACGCCUUGAUAUACAAGUUUAUUGUCAUGAUCUAGCAAGGUUUCUUCUAAGGAUCUUGGCUUUCUUUGUCUAUAAAGAAGUUGGGUUUUUGGUUGUUUAAUUAAUUUCUACUAGAAUUGCAAGAUAAAAAGGGAUACAAACACUACAAGAAAGCCGGGCUUAUGUGACGACAGAUAUUCGUCAUAGAAAAUAAAAAUGCGUCACAUUUGAUAAUAUGUGACGCCUUUACAGCGUCACUGCGAACGUCACCUAUGAUGCGUCACGGAAAGUAUAAGUGACUAAUUUUAAAAGCGCCACAUAUUUGUAGUAUAUGUGACACUGUUUUCGUCAAUUAAUAGGAGAUUGUGACGGAUUAGGCGUCACAAAAGAAUAAAUUAUGUGACCUAUAUAAUUCGUAAUGUAUGAAAUAGAUAAGUGACACUGAAGGCGUCACAUUUUUCUUCCAUUUGUGGCAUAGCUUGGGUCACUUAUGUCAAAAUAAAAUAUCUAUUUUGAAAAUAUAUGUGACAAACCAAUACAAUUCCCUAUUUAUAAUAUGAUGUUACAAUUCCUUGUUUAUAAAAAAGAAUCAAUUAUGUGACCUAUAUAAUUCGUCACUUAUGAAAUAGAUAACUAACACUGAAAGCGUCACAUUUUUCUUCCAUUUAUGGCACAGCCUGGAUCACUUAUGUCAAAAUAAAAUAUCUAUUUUGGAAAUAUAUGUGACAAACCAAUACAUAUUCCCUGUUUAUAAUCUGAUAUUACAAUUCAUUGUUUAUAAAAAAGAAUAAAUUACAUGACCUAUAUAAUUUGUCACUUAUGAAAUAGAUAAGUGACGCUGAAAGUGUCACAUUUUUCUUCCAUUUGUGGCGUAGCCUGGGUCAUUUAUGUCAAAAUAAAAUACCUAUUUUGGAAAUAUAUGUGAUAGACCAAUACAUAUUCCCUGUUUAUAAAGGAUCAAGGGACAAACAUUUUGACAAACAUAUAUAUAUAUAUAUAUAUAAUAUAUAUAUGUUUUUUUUUUUAAGAUGAUAACAUUUCCUGAAUAAAACUGAGAAGAUAUAUAAACCGGCAAGCAAGUUUAUUUAUCUUAAGAAAGUAACAGUAUUUCCAUAUUCACUUUCAGGUUAUUACAACUUUGACGUCGAAAAAAUAAGAACAUUUAGGGAAGAUGUUUUUCUCAUAAGUUAGGGUUUCUUCAAUGUUUGUCGGUUUCUUUACCUAAGUAAGUUUUUAUCUGUCAAAUUAGUUACGAAGGCUUACUGUCAAAUUGAAUGAAAGGUAAUGAAAGCAGAAAAUAGAAAACAAAAUAUCGGAGUUGACUAUUGGUAGGAUGAAUUUGAGUUAAAUUUCUUUGAAAACUUUAAAAUUGACAAGGAUUACCAAAACUAUACAAUUACCACAUAACAAGAACACAAAGGAAACUACGAGCUUGUUUGGUAUCCUAUUUGAAAAUUAUUGUCAUUUCUCAAAACAUUUCUUGAAAACAAUUUUCUUUAAGACUAAAAAACUUGACUGGUUUGCGAUUUACAAUUUUUAAAUCUUACAACUAAAAUUAGGCAAAGAGAUCUAAAAAGAGGGGAUCGUAGGAGAGGGAGAAAGAGGAGAGAAGAGGAAAGAAAGCAAGAGAUGAUUGAAGAAAAGAGAAAGAAGAGAGAGAAUCGAACAAAAGAGAGAGGAAGAGGAGUGAGAGAAAGAACAUAGAGAAUGAAAAGAGCAGAUUGAAAGAGAGACGAAACAUGUAAAAAAAUAAAAAUAAAGAGGAGAGAGAGAGAGAAGAAAAGAGAGAGAUUUGGAGUGAGAGGGGAGAAGGGAGAGAAGAAAAAAAAGUGUGAGUUUAAGUUUAAAAACUCUAAAAACUCACUUUUUAUGUUUUUAGAUAAUAGACUAUAUUUUUGAGUUAGUCUUGAGUUUAGUUUUUUAAGUAGUCUUACCAAAGACUAAAACUUGAAAAUUGUUUUUGAGUUUAAAAAAUUGGAUUCAAGGAAAGUAUCAAACAGACGCUAAAAAACUUGAAACAAAAGUUUACAAACAAACAACCAACGACAUAAGGAAAACAGACUGCAUACUUUUAUUUACACCAUUUUGUAGUACCCUCAAAACUAAUUGGCAAGUUAUUUAAUUACCAUAAGUGAUAAUGCUGUCCAUAAUCUUGGCCACUACCUCCUUAGAAUCCCUAAGCUUUUUUAUGCUUUUGUUAAGCUUCUCACGCUUUACUGCCAUUGCCGGCGACUCCUCCAACAUCCUCUCGAUUCCCCCAUCGUAAUGUCCCAUCAACUCAUUCAUAAUCUCAGCUUCCAUCUCUUUGUUCACAAGGUUAAAAACAGACAGCUGCAAGUGCAAUGCCAUGAAGUCCACAAACCUCCUCAAAACAACCUUCCAAUAGGCAGUCAUUCUCAUUUUAAGGUCAUAAGCUUGAGCUAAAACAUGCGGUUACUUCCUCAGAACACCGACUUCAACUUCCCCGAUGCCUUCUAUAGCUAUGAUAGAAGGUUUAUUCUCGUCAGUUAAGACUCCAUGAAUGAAAACAUUUUGACUAGCCAUCAACUUGUUCCAUUCGGAAACAUAAUCAGCAUUGCAUGUAUAAUCUGUCAGCUUUUCCAUCUCUACAAGCUCCAGCAUCCACUUUGACACGCCCUGAUCCGGAUGUCCUGGAGACAUCGGGAUAGUCACGUGCUGGCCGACACCCGAGGGGUGACGAAAGCCAUUUAAAAGGCAUAAGAACGAGAAAUAUGAAUUUAAUAUAACAUUUAAUAGGCAUUUAAGGAACGUGUUCAGAGCAUAUAACUAAUUAGAAUACUAGGAAAAAAAUGAUAUAAAAAUUGAAUAAACAAAAGGAGUGGGUCCUACACCGAGAGGACUCGAAGAUGCCAAUGUAGAAGUGUCUUGACGCCGGGAUUGUAUGCCUCGAUUCUAAGCCCUGAAGGGGGCGCAAAACAAAGGUGAGUGGACCAGUUUGAUAUACAUAUAAUAAAACAGUUAUCAACAUACUAACCCCCUGAUUUUUAUGAAAACACAUAUAUGUAUCAUGAUAAACAUAAGUUUUCCGAAACCUAGAAUGUCGUGCAAUAUCUCAAAUCAUAACUCGCAAAACAUAAUAAACACUAGUGUCAAAUGUCCACAUAUAUCCAUCCAGGCCCUAUGUCAUCUCCCCAUCCCUGAGCAUACAGUCAAAGAAAAUAUGACUUCAGGCCCUAUGCUAGCUCCACUGUCCCUGUUCUAAAUAGUCAGAGGGAAAUACACUCCAGGCCCUAUGCCAACUCCACCGUCGCCCGGGAUGGACCGAAAUCUAUCCCUACAUCCCGUAGCGGAAAUUGGGACAGCUAGGUAAUACAGAAUCAUCGCACAUAUAUUUAUUCAAAAGUAACAUCAUAUAUCAUUCUUAUAAACUCAUGCUUUUUAUGCGUGCAAUUCUACUAAUAAAGCAUGUAUUUUAGAAGGGGUCCACUCACAGUACUUCACCGUCGAAAGCCGCGCUGCUAACAAAGAUAGAAACGCCACAAUAAUUGCCCCUAAGCACAUAAACGUUCCAAUUAAUAAAUCUUUAUUAAAACAAUUGAAUUUGAGAAAACGGACGUCGAAAACGGAUUCAAGACGUUGAAUUACCUUAAGAAGGGUCCUGGAUAAAUUUCGUAAACGUCAAUAGAAUAUUCCACAUCAAGAGUUUGGGCCGGCUAGGGUUUAAGGGUUUAGUGCUUAAGGCCCUAGGUUAAAAAGGUUUGGGUUAGACUUUUAAAAAGGUUAGGCUUAGGUUAAAUAGGUUUAGGGCUUAGGAAGUUGGGUUGGGUCCUUAAGGGUUUUGGGUUUCUAGGUUAAAGGGUUAGGAAAUUGGGUUGAUAAAAAGGGCCUAGGGUAAAUAAUUGGGUUUGGGCUUAAAAGGGUCACGGAUUGGGCUGGAGACCCGUGGGUUUUGGGCUGGUUUCAAAGGACUUGGGUCGAGUUGAUUCGUUUUCAGGCCAAUGAAAUGGUCGAUUUCUGGGUAUCACUUCGAACGCCCAUAACUUCUUCGUUACUCAUCCAAAAUAAGUAAUCCAAACAUGAAAGUUGUAGUACUCGACGAGAUGAAGAGAUUGAUACCCUGCACUCCGCCAAACUCUCCGUGGUUUGGCCGGAAAACACCUCGAAAGGGGCGGUGCUCGUCGGAAAACUGGGUUUUUUGGCCGAAUGUUUGGGUAAUUUUCAAAGCUUUGUAACUUCUUCGUUUCUUAACCACAUUGAGUGAUUCAAAAUCUAAAAUGUAGUUAGGAAUGUGGAGAAGAGGUUCAUACCAAGUGAGGACCGAGUGGUUACCGGAGUUCACCGAAAAACGACCUGAAAAAUCAUAGCAAAAGACAGCAUAGUGAAAGAGGCUUGAGUUGUAGUGCUAGUUGCUGGAGUCGAAGAAGGGGUUGUGGUAGUGAGAGUAGAAAGAAACGGAGCGGAGGGAGUUGGGAAAGAUUGUGAGGUCGGUUUUGAGGUGGCAUUGGAGAAACUAGUGGAGAAACCAAAAGAGGAUUGCAAAGCGGAGGAAGCCAGAGUUCCGAAGGAAGAGAAUCUGGAAACGGUUAUUGAUGGGGGAGCAGCGGUGGUGGGAGCAGAGGUUGUGGGUUUCAAAAGAGAGGAGGAUGUUGGUAAUGUGAAAGCUGAAAAGGAAGUGGAGAAGCUUUGGAACCAUUGGGUGGUUAGAGCUAUAGAGGAUGACGGUUGGGACGAGGAAGUUGUGCCAGACAGCGGCGAGGGUACGCUGGGUGCAUAGGACGUUGUGCCAAACAAGUGCGAAGCGGAAGUUGAGGGGUUCCAAACAGGGGUGUGGGUGCGCUGGGUGCAAAUGAGGUUGCUCUGAAUGGGGAUGAAGUGGCGAAAGAAGGAGCGCCGAAUAGAAGGGACCAUUGGGUGGUUUGACCUAUAGAGGAUGAAGGUUGGGACGAGGAACUUGUACCAAACAGCGGCGAGGGAGCGCUGGGUGCAUAGGACGUUGUGCUAGACAACUGCGAAGCCAAAGUGGAGGAGGUUCCAAACAGGGGUGUGGGUGCGCUGAGUGCAAAUGAGGUUGCUUCGAAUGGGGAUGAAGUGGCGGAAGAAUGAGCUCUGAAUAGAGGGGACCAUUGGGUGGUUGGAGCUACAAAGGAUGAAGGUUGGGACGAGGAAGUUGUGCCAGACAGCGGCGAGGGUGCGCUGGGUGCAUAGGACGUUGUGCCAAACAACUGCGAAGCAGAAGUGGAGGGGGUUCCAAACAGGGGUGUGGGUGCGCUGGGUGCAAAUGAGGUUGCUCUGAAUGGGGAUGAAGUGGCGGAAGAAUGAGCUCCGAAUAGAAGGGACCAUUGGGUGGUUGGAGCUACAGAGGAUGAAGGUUGGGAUGAGGAACAUGUGCCAAACAACGGUGAGGGAGCGCUGGGUGCAAAUGAGGUUGCUCCGAAUGAGGAUGAAGUGGCAGAAGAAGAAGCUUCGAAUAGAGGGGAGACGGAUGCGGUGAAGGUGGUGGCAGGUGCGGAGGAUAUGAAUGGGGAGGUGCAAGAGCCGGAACAGAAUAAGGAAGGAGGGUUGGAGAAAAAGAAAUGGAAGUGGAUUGGGCGGAAGAGGAAGAAAAGGAAAAGCCAGUGGUGGACGUGGUGGCAGGUGUGGAGGAUAUGAAUGAGGAUGUGGAAGAGCCGGAAAAGAAGAAGAAAUGAGGGUUGGAGAAAGAGAAAGGGGAAGUGGAUUGAGCGGAAGAGGAAGAGAAGGAGAAGCCGGUAGUAGACGUGGUGGCAGGUAUGGAGGAUAUGAAUGGGGAGGUGGAAGAGCCGGAACAAAAGAAGGAAGUAGGGUUGGAGAAAGAGAAAGGGGGGUGGAAAAGGAAGAGAAGGAGAAGCCGGUGGUGGACGUGGUGGCAGGUGCGGAAGAUAUGAAUGGGGAAGUGGAAGAGCCGACUGAGAAGGAAGGAGGGUUGGAGAAAGAGAAAUGGGAAGUGGAUUGGGCGGAAGAGGAAAAUGCCGAGGAUUCAAAUAAAAAGCUCGACAUUGUUUUCUCUCUUCUGCUGCUGCUGCUGCUCUAUGUUAUUGAGAGGUUUUUCAAAUUUUGGGGUUUUUGGUUAACACAUUUCAAAGCCUUCUCUUUUCAUUUUCUGGUUGUCAAUGGCUUCAUCCGCCUAAGUUUUCACAUUCUGGAGAUUUUGUUUCACUUUUACCAUUGUAAGACUAUAGAUCAUAGAUGCUGACAUGGUUGGACAGAUGUCGAAUAAUGGUGUCGUUGCGGCCCCCACCGUCAAAGAAAAAGCAGUCCCCAUGGGCAUUCAAGCUGAAAGAGAACUCAUAAUUGUAUAAAGGUUUUGCAUCACAUUCAUAACUCGAUCCGAAAACUUCACAUCUCAGAUUUUCGAUCUGUAACUUCCAAAGAUUUACAUUAUGCUUCUAAAAUAAUAUACUAAAAUAUUACCAUGAUUCGACAGUCGGAUCUUCGCCAAUCAAAAUUCAAGUGGCAGUCAACAUUUUAUUUUGCGAACUUACUAAUCCAAUUCAGGAAGAUUCAUACGUCAAAUUCCCAAUCCGUAAGUUUCUAUGGUCCUCAAAUAUUACGUACUAUAAUGUAUUAAAGUUUUGUGCCAAUCCAACCAUCAGAUCAUCGAUUGCUAUAAUGUUAAAGAGGCAUACCUUAGAGAAAUUAUACCCAAACGAUGGAAUUUCAUUAAUCGGAUGUCAAAUAUGGAAUCAAGGCAUCCAAAUUAGCCUAGUAAGGUCAGGUGGGGUAUUAGCCUAGCGCUGCCGCACACGGCAACUGACCACCCCAACUCGUCGGAAAAUUCAACUAAUUUCAAAAAUUCUCAAAUUUUACCAGAAUGAAGAUCUCAAUUAGUAGAGCAAGUUUUAUACCUAUGGCCACACCUUAAAUCGCCACAAACCUACCGGAACCCUAGAAAUGGGUGGGUUUCAAUUCACCCUCUCCGAUGCUUUGACGUGCCAACCAAAGCUUGGGACUUGUUCCUGGGUUCAAGAGGUGCUGAAAUAUGGUAGUGGUUGACGAAAGAGCUCGCAGAAAUAGCGGAUUCCACUGUCGUGGCUUCGGAACACCCACCAUAGGGUUUGAAUGGAAAAGGAAGAGAUGAGGCCGAAGUGAUGAAUGGUGGGGGUGGAUGGUCACGAUUCACCAGAAAAAUGGCUGAAAUCACGACGGAAAAGGUGCAAGAAGUCUGGUCAUGAACCCGGUAAAAAAGGAUAUGGUGCUCCUCCACUCAAUAGCAAUUAAAUUGCUACCUCGAAAUAUUGAUCAUUUAAAUACUUGAUUGCAAUACUUAUCUGUCAAUCAUGUAUUAUGCUUAAAAUCUCUAUAUAACAUCUCAAAUGGUGCCAAACCAAAAAUUGAAAUAGUAAUCGUAGUUACAUGCAACCUUAACAAAGAUGAGUGUCUAUUACAAUCAUGCUAAAACUAUAGAACGGAUAAAUGCAACAUGUUCACAAAUGUCUGGAUAGUUCAUUCGAACUAGUAGUUAAUCUGAGGGUGAAAUGUGGUAAUACAUAAUAACUUUGUAACCAUGGUUUUCAAGAAGACUCCCAAAACUUGGAAGUGAUACACGCAUCAUGAUGAGGUACAACAAUGACAUGCACAUUAGGCAUCCAAACAUUAUAAUUCAUAUAUGUCACAACAAGUAGAUUCAUUAUGAAAAUUUCUCUCGAAUUUAGUGAAACACUGUGUCGAGAAGGCUAAAAGAACAAUCAAGAAUUUGAGAAUUAAAAUAAGUCCAUCAAUCUAGAAUACAAAGUAACUAGAUUAAUGCAUAACAUCUCACUACAAUGGUAGCUUCUAGAAUAUUCAAUCACCAACGGUAACGAUUCGCUUAGCAGAGUUUGUUGAGUGAUUGAGAAAUUAAUGGUCACAACUGCAAUUCCAAUGUCAAUGGUUCUUCUAGACAGUUUAUCAACUUCAAAAUAAUGCGAAGUGCAAUAGGGUAGGUAGUACCCAAGGUUGACUGGAAUGCCUUCUAACACAAAAGGUGAAUAUGAAAUCACAAUCAAAGUAGAUGUUGAUCAAAAUGUCAGAAAAUCUGAAAAAUUCAAGAAUGAGUAAUUUUCUCAAGUGAUCAAAAUGUAUUCCCUAUGGACCAAUGGAAAGUAAGCUAACUUGUCAAGUCGGCGAUAAUCACCGAAACAUCAUUGUAAUAUCCACAUAUACAAGAUACCUCAUACCAGGAGCUUAUGGUGAUAUUUCUCAUCUCCAUUUGGAUAUAGAAAGUGAAUAUAACCACUCGAACGAUUUCUUGAUAAUUUGUAAGUAACGUCAACCCAAUGCUCAUGAAUUCCAACUAAAAUGAAAUAGGACAGACUAAAAGCAUUUCGGGAGUAGAUAAUGUCUUUUGAUGUGGCAAACAGUAAUUACGUUUCCACAACGAGGAUGAUACACGAUUGUGUAAUUGUAGAUGUUAAUUUGGUUCCUCUAUCACCAUUGUCAGAAAUCUAUUUCUUUCCAAAUGGAUAUGUACUUGCGAGGUCUAAGAUUGAUAGAGAUUUUGGACACGUUUCUCUAUAGAGAAGUGUCAUUCAGUUUUUAAGUAAGAUGGUAACUAUUGACUCUAAGUUAUGAAUAAGAUGGUUCAUUCCAAACGGUUCUACACGUUGGGAAAUAUAAGCGAUUCUCCGUCAUGCUGCCUCUGUACAGCCAAAACAUCCAAAGAACACAUCAUCAUGGAUUUUCAAAAUAAUUAUUAUCAUCGAAAGGUGUAAAACGAAGGUAAGAUGAGACAACAAUUUAGUUGUCAGAAACUUUAUUCAUAAUCAACAUCAUAACUAAAUUAACUUUCCUCGAUCGUAAAUGAGGAAAAAACACUACAGCCGAAGGAUCGCUAACAAAUUGUCGAUAAAAUCGACAUGACCAAAGAUAUCUCGAACGUCACUACACUUCGUGUGAAUUUCAACUUUCUUCCACUAAACCCUUUUUGGAAAAGAAAAGAUUAUCGUUUACGAAGAUCACGUCUCCCAAGAAAAGUACCAAUUUAAUCAAAGUUAAUAGUUGAGCACUUUGGUAUAAAGCUGACUAUUGAUAUUUAGAGAAUUUGGUCUCACUGUCAAGGUAGAUGAAAAAGUCAUCGAUAAGACCACUAUGAAUACGUUAGGCUAUGGGAGAAAACUCAGGUUACAAAGGUUGGUCAGCUCGACCAUCAACUCGAAAUAGGGGCUAACGGUUUUUGGUCGUCACGUGAUUGAGUCGCUAAAGUCUAGGUACAACCCUAAGGUUCAACCUUUCGCCUUUACGAAUAGGUUUGAGAUUCUCUAGAUAAAGUGUUUGGUUAGAUACAGGGUCGGGCGUGUCAGUUUGGUAUUAGAGCGUGGUUUGUUCAUAGCAUACUUAGGAUCUUCUAUUAUUGUAGUAGUGUGUCGAUCAUGACGUCAUUUGGAUGUCACGACUUCCUGAUUUGUUGUCUUUCGGCACAGUUAUGCAACCCUCAUUCUGCAUGAAUAGUCACAUCUUAUGGAAGAAAAAGAAAAUUCGUGUUGGGAUUUUGCCUCAGUGUUGACGAAAUGGAUUGUUGAACAACUUUCAACAUCGAACUGAUACUCUAUAGCAUGCGUUCCCUAAGAAUUGCGAGUAGAGUUGGUGUUUACAUUGAAGUGACUAUCUAAGCCGAAGAAACUAUCAUAGACACUUAAGAGCAAGUCUUGUAGAAUGACUGUAACCUCCUAGUUGUUUUAACCAUGUUUUCCACUUAGGUAACCAAAACCUCUUCGUCUAGCCACAUUUUCGAUCACUUCCACAAGUGGACAAUAGAAUCGAAGUACAAGUUAACUUCUCAUUAUUAGAGUGAAGUAGCGUAUCGAGAAAGCUACAAAGACUUAUUAGCACGUGUCUACCCUGGUGUUCGGUAGAUAUCAGGGUCGGGCGUGUCAGCGAGUAUCUUUGACAUAAUUCAAAGACGUAGUAACUAAAGUAUGCUUAAUAGACCUCCAAGAAAUUGUGGUUCCACCAACAAUACCCAUUUAGGAUCUUGCCAUGUACGGAUCGAAUAAGUACAUAGCGUCAACAUAACCAACAAAAGCAACUCGAAAACUAGGGGGAGGGGGGACGGUUGCACUCAAAGUUGAGUAAGGAUAGGACAAACACAAGUCCACAACACUAUUAAGAUAACAUAGAGUUUUUUUAACACAUUUCAAUGUCUGCAUGUUGGCACAUGAUUGUGUUAUGCUAAGAGAUUUAUAAUGCAGGAGAUGUUAGGUCUUGUACACUGAGAUAAGUACAACAAAGCACCAAUUGCACUUAAGUAUGGAACCUCAGGUUCUAAAACUUCUUCAUCAUCUAUCUUUGGACGGUAUAGGUCUUAUUGUGCAUCAAGCGUACAGAUGACAAUGAGAGUACUCAAAGUCCACGCUUUAUCAUUAAAGCAUUGUAACAUCGUCUUGGUGUAGUUUGACUAGUUGACCAUGACUAAUGGACCAUAAUGUUGGAUUGUGAACUACCUUAGUAUAUAUGUGCAGAAGUGUGGAGGUUGGCAUAAACAUAAAUAAUCAUUUUAACAUGCAUGUUUGCGAAAUGCUGGAUUCCAUUUAAUCAUAUUAAAUUAAUUUAUGUAUUGGUUAUGUUCAUGUAUAAUAAAAUUAAGAACACAUGUAUAAACUUAGAGUACGUUUUAGAAUUCUAACCUUUAGAUUUCAUAGGUGGACGAAUUCAAUGUUGUUGAGGCUACUAAGUGUUAGCCGUCUACUAGUAUCUACACAAAUAAAUCUUCGGCUAGUGAAGCAAGAAGACAACGAUCUGCUAGAACUUUAUCUAUUAGGUAGGUGCUGCGGCAGAGGUACAAUGCAUUGUUAUGAAGUUGGUCUAUAUUGUCACGCCUCGCCCCGAAAUAUAAAUAUAUUAAAUCUUCGGCUAGCGAAGCAAGAAGACGACGAUCUGCUAGAACUUUAUCUAUCAGGUAGGUGCUGCGGCAGAGUGACAAUGCAUUGUUAUGAAGUUGGUCUAUAUUGUCACGCCCCGCCCCAAAAUAUAAAUAUAUUUCGGGAAUUAAUUAUGGUAGGCCCAACUUAAAAACGUAGUUAAUUUAUUUCCUUUAACCACAUCCCUCUAAGUCAAUAUUACUUACUAUUACAAGCUAUCCAUAUUUUCUUAAAAUGUCAAACAUAUCUUUCAUUUAACAAUUGAAUUCACUAAUAUUAGUUGUCAUUCUCCAAAUAAUUCCCUUCGUCCCACGUAGAAUCUAUAACCAUUAUUCGUUUACCAAGAUAUACAAUUUACUUUCCAAUUUAGAACCAUUUCCUUCUCUUAGAUCAAAUUCCAUCUAAACACUAAUUCUCGAUUAUUUAGUCUCACUUAUUUAUGGCUGCAUCUAACGUCUUGUUAGACUGCCUACGUACCCUAAACAAAGAUCAAGCCAUUCGUAGUUCACAAAUUCAAAUUCAAUUAAACUUUGAUAUUUCUACACAUAAUUAACAAUCACCAACUAGCUUCAAAUAAGUGUAUCACAUUAAAUACUUAUUUAACUUGAAUCCAAAACAUCAAAUUUAGCUUAAAAUACGGCAUCGGUUCCCUAGCCAUGCGUCGUCGCCGUCCUGACUUGCCGAAAAAUUCAACUAUUUCUAAAAAUUCUCAAAAAUUACAAAAAUGAAGAUCUCAAAGAGUAGAGCAAACUUUAUACCUAUGGCCAAGCCCAAUUUGGCCGGGAAACACCUCAAAUUGGCCACGAACUGCCGAAAACUCUUGUUUUGGGUGUUCUUGAUUUGUCUCCAAAACAACUUCGACGCCUCAACCAAUGCAUGGGCUUUGUUCUAGGCCUCAAGAAGAGUAUGAGAGUAGUGGUAAUUGAAUGAAAUCACUUCAAAAUUUGGUGAAUUUUGACACCUACACCGUCGCACCCACCGGUGCGUUUUACCCCAUUUCAAGGUCAAAUUUCAUGAUUUUUGGGGGGUAACAGGGUUAGGGAAGGUCAUUGAGGGUUUUCCAAGUGGUAGUUUAAAUUGAUUUGCUGGAAAAUGGGCUAAAACUCACCAAAAAUAGCAAGGAAAACCGACCGAAUCGAGUCGGGUCCUUUCAGGUCAGGGAUCCCCCGUACCCCUUUUCUCUCAUUUUCCCCCCUUUCUCCUUUCUCCCAUUGGUCAACCUCCCCCUAUUCCUUCCUUCCUUUUCUCCUUUCUAUUCUUUUCUUUCAAUCUCAACCGUCCAUUUCUUUAUUUAUUUUCAUCUCAGCCACACACGUGGCACAACCAUUGGAUCAAAUUUUCUGGAGCCUUCUACCAUAAAAUGAAAUUAUUAAAAUAUCCUUAACUUUAAACGUUAAUAUCUUCUUUGUUAUAACUUCGUUUCAUGAACGGUUUGUGCCUACACAUUCAUGAGAUCGAGCUCUAUUCAAAAAUAUAAAUUGUCACUCUGAAUAGUUUUCGGAUUUUUAAAUAAUAAAUUCCCAAACUUAGAACUUCUUAACCAGUUUAAUUUAAAACUAAACUCGAAUAAAUUAAUAUAAUUUCUUGAAAAAUAAUCUAAAAUCUCAAUCAUACAAAUACAUAAAUUAUAAUAAUUUCCGAAAAUAAAACUUUAAAAUUUUCCAAUUCUACUUUCAUAACCAUAAAUCGAUUUAUUUUCAAUUUUCUCCACAUAUUCAUAUAUUUAAAAUUUCAGGGUAUUACAUAUAUUGUAUUGGAAAAUAAACAACAAGAAAGUUCAGAUGCCAUACCCUUUAAUAGCCAUAACAAGUGUUGAAGUUGUCGAAGUUGUAGUUUUACUAGAACUGUUUGUUGUCGUUUCAGGUACAAUGUAAGGAAUAUUUCGUCAAAACUAGGUUUAUGGAUAAAAAAUAAAAAAAAACAUACCAACUCAAGCAGUAAGGAUAAACAACUAAAUUAUUCUAAACAAGUGAACUCCAAAUGUAAUGACCUGUCUCAAAAUUUUAUAAAUUUCAGAACGACAAGGGUAAAUUGGUAUUUUCACAUGUGAGAGAUAUUUGCAUGUUUGUCUCUUAUGACUUGUUUGGUGCGCCAAUGAGGCCCACCGCUUUUAUUUGGGGACUAGGAUUAUCUCUUCUGACACACCCUGACCCAAAAUAUCGAGAUGUGCUGGCAGUCACGUGAGGAUGACGUAGCCAUGCGCGUUGUGCGGAAGAAUUAAAGUGAAAGACAGUGAGGAAACGAAAAGUAAACCGAAUAAUUUACAUCAAAAGAUAAGUGAGUAAAAGUGAUGAAAAGGAAAGCAUAAAGCACCACAUCAAAGUUCAAGUAACCUAGGUGCAGUCCGGAAUAAACAAGUACUGAAUAAACGUUAACCAAAUAAAUCCUACAUGGAUGAUGCCUUGUUAAAACUGUCUCGAUGCCUCGCUCGCCACCAACGUCGCAACUACCUAAAACUUGGAGCGGCGCAAAACUGAAAACAUGAGUGGGUAAAAACAAAGUUUUUCCAAAACCGUUUCAAUAUCAAAAUAGUAACCCCUCUCCCUAUACUUUCUCAGAAAAUAUCAUCCAUACUCAAAUAUCAAUCAUGCUGGAAAACGAUAAAUCUCAAAUAUGCCAUGUUAGAAUACGACAUGUCGAAUUACCCAAUCAAAACAAAAUAAGUAUCAAGUAGGUGAGAUAAAUCAAAUCAUAAUAUGCCGCCAAUCUCAAUACGUCAGUUGGAGUCACCUAACGUGAACUGUACGACUGAAUAUAUAGCUCCUCAAUCACUAUCUUGCACACGAGUCGGAACCACCUAUAGUGGUCUGUACGACAGGCUGGGUGUAUAAUUACGCUCAGUGCUACGAUCACGUGAAGGCUGUGCAACGUAUCACAAGUCACCUAUGAGUCGGAACCACCUAUAGUGGUCUGUACGACAGGCUGGCACCUGCCUUGGGUCCAAGGUGAGCGUACGGUGCGGGAGGUGAACGAUCACGUGAAGGCUAUGCCGUACUCUGGCAGAGCACAAACACCGGGGUGCAGGAAUAUGAGCUAUAUCUCAAUCUCAUCAUCAUCACAACUAUCACUAACAAGUAUACUCACCUGACUUACCUGAGCGACGCCAAUUCAUAACCAACAUAAAUCAUAAUAAACAAUAAUGAUAUUCGACAUGGCAUUUCAAUUAUAAAACCAUUUUAAAACAUAAUAUCUGGGAAAAUAUCAAAUAUAUAUAUAUAUAUUCUGAAAACAAAAGCCCACUCACUGAUAAGUAGAAGGGUCUUAGCCCCCGAGCCUGGCAUGGCUGUGCUCGUCUUCUGGAUAAGCCUUACCUAUAUGUGAAACAACUAUAAAACCGUCAAUUAAACGCACAUAACCAACCUUAGGUAAUAACUUCUCAUACAUUGCUCAAUUGGAGGUGUUUGAAUCUAACAACAUGCUUUACUUAAUCUCAGAACACCCUCAUAUUUUUAGAAAAAAUUUCUUGUCACCCACGCGUAGGCACGUGCCUGGCACACGGACGGAACAGUUAAUGCCGUAAGGAAUAUUUUGUUAAAAAGUAACAGAUUCCAUUAAAUCUAACCUGACACUGUUAGAAUAUUCCAUCAAACUUGACGGAAUAUUCAUCGUCUCCUUCCUUGAGUCACGGGAGUCCGGCGCCGGUCGCCGUCUGUUUGCGGGUUUCUGGAAAAUUUUCAAAUGUUGAUAUCUCAGUCAAAUCUUAACUAAAUUUCACGAAAUUAACGUCAAAAUGAAGCUUAGGACAAGGGGAAGAAAUCUAUACCAAUUUGAGGUCCCAACGAUGCUGGAAUCUCGCCAGAGAAAUCUCGAAAAAUCUGAUCAACUAUAGAACUCAAGAUUUCGACAUCCAAAACACGUCAACGUUGCUCCCCAAGCUUCGUGAAGACGUCUAGAAACUCCCUGUGAUCUUAGAAUCUCUAAAAACCUCCUCAAUCACGAGUGCAUGAACAAUACCUUUAUUGGAGCUUUCAGGUUUCAAGGGUUUUCAAGGUUUUCAGGACAAACCAAGGGUAUAGUUGAACUUGCAAGGGUGCAAGGAGAAGCAUGUAUAUCCGUACUUAGGGUAUGGAAAAUAGAAGAAAAAUCGAGAAGGAGGGAGAGACAGAACCAGAAACAGAAAAGGAAGAAAAAGGGGUGCACGUGUGCAUGUGUGUGUAUAAGUUUAACCAAUCACACCAAAACUAAGCUCAAGUUCUAAUUGGGUCCAAUAAUUUGGGAUAUCACCCUAUUGGCCCAAUGUAGCUCACACACAUAACCACAAACACGUAAGGGUAAAAACGUCAAUUCAUGCCGUCGAUAAAAUUAUUUCGGGACGGUCUGUCACAUCCUCUCUUUUUUCACCCCCUUCUUUAAUAUUCUUUAUUUUGUAUUUUUUUAUAUAAAUAAAAUAUUAAUAUAAAAUGUAAUCAUGAUCUAUUUGAACGGAAAUUGGAUGGAAAAAAAAAAGAUGAGAGACUUCUCAUUUAUUUGGUCUCCUGGUCCUCCCUCUCUCUUCCUUUUCCCCGUCACUCUCCUCUCAUCUUGGACUAUCACACUCUCUAACUCUCCCGGCCCUCAUCUCUCUCGCACGACCCUCAUCCUCCUUCAAAACCCAAAAAACUGGCGAUUCCACGGAACUGAAACCAAGCUGAAGUCCCCAUCCUUCUCUGUUCCCCCAUCAUCACUGUUCUCUCCUCCCUCGGAACCCUGCAACAUCACCAUCGCGGCAGAGCCGCCUUCUCCGGCGAGUUCGUCGAUUUCCCGACUUGGGGUAAGCCUCGGGAUGCUUAAGAUCUUCAACUGUUACUUAUCUUUUUGUCCUAUUUGCUGCUAAUGAUUUGUAGCAAGAGUUGAUUUUUAACUGUUUCUAAUUGGUAAUGGAUUAAAGGAAGUUCAUUUACUAUUAGAGGUGCAUGUGAAAGUAAGCUUGAUUCGUAACCUCGUCGAGCAUUUGGAGCUCGCUUUGACUGAGGUUUUUCGAUUUGAUGUGAUGGCGUAUAAGCUUUUCUCAGUUUCUCGGUCAUUUUAAGGGUGACCAAGAUUAUCUCUGUGAGCAAUGUUGAGGUUAGGGAUUGGAAGUAAAUGAAAAGGGGUGUCUUUUCAUCAAAGGCUGAGGCCAAGAUUAUCUUUUGAGAAAACUUUGAGGCCUUACCUAGAUUGCAAGUCUCUGUUAAGUUCCAAUUGACGAAGAUGUUUAAAACUGUUGAAAUUAUACUGCCUUAAUUGAAAGGAGGCCUUACCUAGGAUAAUAUCUAGCUCAUUCGGGGUCUUUUUUUGGUUCUUUAACUACAUGAAAUUUGCAUUGAGAUGAAUUCUUAUCCUGAAUGAGUACAUGUGAGAAUCACGCGUGAUUGACGGAAAAUUAUGAAAUAAGAUAAUGAAUUCCGAAGGCUGGGUGCUCAGCUGGAGAUGCGGAUAAACAAAGAAUUAUAUGUUGAUUUGAAAAGGAAGACGUUUAUAUUGUUGAUUGGAGUAUAUAUGGCCGAUGAGAAUAUGCUAAACCGAUAGUUGCUCCUUGUAGGUUGCGGGGGAAGUGGUAACAUUAUGUGUUCAGAAUGUGGUGGCCGCGGGUAUCUAAGAUGACCAUACCGGUUCGCUUAUCUUCCUUGAAUUUGUUGUAUGUGCAAGUAACUUGUGUUAUAGCCAUGACGCUUUCCCUAAUUUUUUGUGGCUGAUUCCACGAUGAGUUAAGUGUAACAGUAAUGCAUCUGAUUCAUUUACUCUUCGAAAUGGUGUUCUUCCUCAGAUUUAUGUGCCAUUUAUCGUGUUGAAUGUUCAGAACCAUACAAUUACCACAUAACAAACACAAAGGAAACGAAAAAACUUGAAACAAAAGUUGACAAACAAACAACCAACGACAUAAGAAAACAGACUGCAUACUUUUAUUUAGACCAUUUUUAGUACCCUCAAAACUAAUUGGCAAGUUAGUUAAUCCCCAUGAGUGACAAUGCUGUCCAUAUUCUUGGCAACUACCUCCUUAGAAUCCCUCAGUUUUCUUAUGCUUUUGUUAAGCUUCUCACGCUUUACUGCCACUGCCGGGGACUCCUCCAACAUCCUCUCAAUUCCCCCACCGUAUGGUCCCAUCAACUCAUUCACAAUCUCAGCUUCCAUCUCUUUGUUCACAAGGUUGAAAACAGACAGCUGCAAGUGCAAUGCCAUGGAGUCCACAAGCCUCCUCAAAACAACCUUCCAAUAGGCAAUCAUUCUCAUUUUAAGGUCAUAAGCUUGAGCUAAAACAUGCGGGUACUUCCUCAGAACACCGACUUCGACUUCCCCGAUGCCUUCUAUAGCUAUGACAGACGGUUUCUUCCCAUCAGUUAAGACUCCUUGAAUGAAUUCGUUUUGACUAGCCAUCAACUUGUUCCAUUCGGAAACAUAAUCAGCAUCGCAUGUAUAAUCUGUCACCUUUUCCAUCUCUACAAGCUCCAGCAUCCACUUGAUUGACCUUUCCUUCAUCUUGGCCAUUAGAUUAUGGCCGGCACGCCUUGCUGACAGCUGCAGCUGAUAAUAGUUCUCCGAAUUACGCAUCAAGACAGAAAUAACCGCCUCUUCAAUGUAGAUCCACACUCGUUCCACAAAUGCAAUCGGAAUACUUGAAAUUCCAUUCACUUUUCUCUGCAAGAUAAUGUGGAAAGCAUUGCGCGGAAGAAAGUUCGGAAGUGAAAUACCUUUGUUCUCCUCCAAGAUCUUGAUUUCCUCCAUCAAGAAGUUGCUCUUUGCAUCACUUUCAGGACAUCUGUGAAGUUCAUCCGAGUACUGGUUGAGCAUCUCAACCAAUCUAGCAGUGCAGUGCAUGCGGUUGUCUUCCGCGUACUCCUCAAAUUCUCCUCUCAAAAGGAUCUUCCUAAGCGAUUCCUUAGCCAAGCCAAUGAUUUGCAUAAAGGCCGUCAUGGCCUCAGCAACAGACGAAAGACUCUUGGGCAUUUUAUUCAGUUCCAUAAUGCAAAAAUUCAGCCUGUCAUUGAUCUUCUUCACUAUAUCGGGUAAAUUUUUUGCCAUGCUGUUUGGGCAUUUUAUUCAGUAGUCAAGGUAACGUUCUGCUAUGGUUAACCACCCGUAAGGGUCCUCGCCAUUAAAUCAUGGCAGUUCCAUUUUAAUAGCUUUAAAAUGUGAAUGAGGGUUCUAGGGAGGUGGGUUGGGUAAUAUGGGAAGGGAGGGUGGUGAGGAGUUGGGUGCCGUGGAGGGACUUAAGUGGAAGGAUUGUGAGUGUGAUAAAUGGUAGGGUUGGGGCUGUAGCGGUGGGAAUGGGGGUGGGUGAAGUGGUGGUGGUGUAAGUGGAAAAUGGGGCUAAGCUCGGGGAGAGUGGGUAGGAAAUGCCCAGACUUGAGGAUUGAGCACUGAAAGGCACAAAAAUUAAACGAAAUCAAGGGGAUGGGUUAAGGUUAGAGGGACGAGGACCGAGAAAUGAAGUGGUCUGGUGUUGAGGUUGAAUGGGGGUUGAAGAGGGGUUGGGUGUGUGGUGGGUGGCGGUGUGGGUGGAGGUUUGGGAGGGUGGAGGCCCCGAUUUGAGGAUUCGAAGUUCGCCAAGCAUUAGGGAUUGAAAAGCUGCAAACUGUGAGGUUAUAUUGUUUUGAAAAGCUGUGUUGGAGGUGUUCAAGGUUUCGAGAGAUUUCUGGAGGUGGGUUUGUUGUGUUUCCAGGGCGAAGAUUGAGUCACACAAGUCAUCAACUUGAGUUCGCAGGUAUUUUUGACGAACAUCAACCGCAACAGUGACGGCGUCUGGAUCAGAGGUGGCGGACUGCAUGUUUUUGCCCAUUAAAUCGACGGGCUCUGAUACCAAUUGGUAUGCCCAAUCGGUUCAGGUUGGCUGAAAAUGGCAACUUUAAUACAAAAUAGUGCAGGAAUUUAAAAGAAGAAAGGGAAAGAAGAGUUUGAGAAAAAAGAGGCAACUUUAAUUCAUCAUUUCAUAGGUUCUUUCUACUCUCCUUUGUUACAAAUUUAUACUCCUCAUAAAAGGAAAAAACCCUAGCUACUUGGACGUAAGGAAAGAAGGCUGGUACGGCCCGGUUACAAGAGGAGAAGUAGUGGACUCAAGUAAAUGGGCUUAACAUGGUGUCGUUGGGGCCCCACCAUCAAAGAAAAAGCAGUUCCAUGGGCAUCCAAGAGGAAAGAGAACCCACAAUAGUAUAAAGAUUUUGCGUCACACUCAUCGCUUCGGCAUCAAUCCUUUUCCCUCCUUGCCGAUGUUCUUUAUAUUUUACUUUCUUUCUUCAUAAGUUGUUUGUAGAUGACAUGUUCUGAGAAUCUCUUGGGUGUCGUAUGCGUGCUACAAUACUCGUUUGUGUCAAAACACACAUAAACAUUAUUCUUUCCGUUGAGAUUUAAAAUUAAAAGUCUAUAGACACUUUUUGGUGAACUCGAAUUAAGGAAUUCUCAUUUUAUGUGUUAAGUUUUAUGCGGAUGAGUUAAGUGAUACAAAUUCAAAAAUUACUCUACAUUUUAAGCUGUUGUUUUUUUUUAACAUUUAUAAGCACAUAUAACUGAACUAGGACGCCACACAACAAUAAACCAAUUUUGUAUAAAUCAUUGUUACUUGGAGAUUAAGAUUAUGGCACCAUGAAAUAUUAAAUAGUUUUGCAAGAAAAAAAAGAACGUGGGAAAGAUGACAGGGCUAAAACAAUUGAGACUACAAUUUAGGACGCAUUGUACCACAUCUUUAAAAAAAGGUGGAAUUUUCUUAUAUUAGUGAACCCUACUUUUAUUAAAUAGUUUUCAAUGUAAUUUAGUAAAGUAUAGCCUCUCUAGCAUGAUAAGCCUAUGAGUAAUUAGCAUUUGUAGACAUCAAAUGCUAAUGAGAAAAAAAAAAAUCUAAUUUCAUCCUAUCCACCUCUAUUAUAACAUUUAUGUUUCAAUGCAUAUACUAAUGAUCAAAAUUCAAAUUUCAAUUGUAGAACUGAACAAAAUUAAAUAUUGGUAACAAAGCAAUAACAUCUGAGCUGUGAAAGCAAAGAGAAAAGUACCACGAUAUAAGAACUUGCGUCACAAUCAAAGCUUCAACAUCAAUCUGUCCCUCCUUGCCAAUGUGCUUUACAUUUUUUUUUUUACUUUCUUCAAAUUUGUUUGUAGAUCACAUUCUUUGAGAAAAUUUUUAGUUCACUAGUUUUGUCACGUCACUUGUUCUUUUAAAAAAAAAAAGAUUCUUUCGCAUCAUCAGUUCAUCACACUACAAUCAUGACUUUAUUGGAUGGAUAACAAUAACAAAAACAAAGUCUUAUUCUAAUAAGUGAGGUCGGCUAUAUAAAAUGUCACUGCAUUCAGUUUUGCUUCAUGUUCAUUAGAUGAAUAAUACAAUUUUUUCAAUACAUGACCAACUUUACAAAUAUUUUUGGGAAGUAACAUUUACACAAAUUAUUUAGCUUCUUUUUUUUUUUUUUGACAAUUGUGUGAGAAACUAAAAAAAGUGAAAAUAAAAUCUACGACGCUAUUGGAACUAAUUUUUUAUUACAUAAAAAAGUCCCUCUGCCUAGUAAAAGGAGGAGAAUGUGACAUGAUUGCUUUUAUUCAAUCCACAUUCUCCCCCACUUGACCAUUUCAUGAGAAAGGAUCAUCCUCAAAUUCCUUCCAUCAAAUUCUUCCAAUUAACAAAUCUGGACCCUAAAAAUUUAAUUUAACGAUUAAAGUUAGUAUAACUUUUUAAAGAGAUCUCAUGUUUUUAACCGUUUGAUCAAAUUUUAAAUGCUUAAAUUUGUUGAUUGGUUAGAUUUGGUAAAAGGGAUUCGGAGAGGAUCCCUUCCCAUUUCAUAAGUUGUCUAAAUGCUUUUGAUUCCUUUUUCAAAUUGAUGCUAGGCCCAAGAAACAAAGCAACACUAGACUAGACUAAAAACAACUGCCGUACGUUUGCCAAAAAAAACUAAUAACAACUGCCGUACAAAAGCAAGAUAAAAAGAGAUACAAGGGAGAACAUUCUCCCCCACUUGACCAUUUCAUCAACAAUGUUGUCUAAAUGCUUUUUAUUCCUUUUUCAAUUUGAUGCUAGGCCCAAGAAACAAGGCAACACUAGACUAAAAACAAUUGCCGUACAAAAGCAAGAUAAAAAGGCAUACAAAGGAGAACAUAUAUAUAUAUAUGUGUGUGUGUGUGGGUAUGUAUAGAUCAGUUAAAAUGAUAACCUUUCUUAGAUAGAACUGAGCAUAUAAACCAGCAAAGGUAAUAUUAGGGAAAUCAAAAUUUUCAACCAAAUGAUGUGUCAUUAAUAGGAAAUAAGCACGUUAAUCAACACAAAAAUAAUAAUUCAAUCAUCAACAACCACAUCAUUUGGUUUGCAAAUUUGGUUUAAAAAAUUUAGUCUCUCUAGAAUUAUCCAACCGGCAAACAAGUUUAAUUAUCUUAGACAAGUAACACUAUUUACGUAUUUAUUUUCAGGCAAUUACAACUUUGACAUCAAAAAGAAGAUUUAAGGAAGAUGAUUUUCUUAUCAGUUAGAAUUUCUACAAUGCGUGUCUCAUUAUUUACCUAAAUAAAUUUUUAUGUCUGUCAAAUUGGUCAUGAAAGCUCACUAUCAUAUUAAUAAGCGGUAAUGAAAGCAGAUAACAUGAGACAAAAAAUAGGAGUUAACUGUAUGUAGGAGGAAAUCGCAUUUAAAUUUCAUUAAAAACAUUAAACUUGACAUGGAUUACCACAACCAUACGACUACGGACCAUCACACAACAAGAACACAAAGGGAACAAAAGAACUUAAAAACAAAAGUUGACAAACAAACAACCACCCACAUCAGACAACAGAAAGCUAAUUGCCAAGUUAGUUAAUCACCAUAAGUGAUAAUGCUGUCCAUAAUCUUGGCCACCACCUCCUUCGAAUCCCUCAGUUUUUUUAUGCUUUUGUUAAGCUUCUCACGCUUUACUGCCACUGCCGGCGACUCCUCCAACAUCCUCUCAAUUCCCCCACCGUAUGGUCCCAUCAACUCAUUCACAAUCUCAGCUUCCAUCUCUUUGUUCACAAGGUUGAAAACAGACCGCUGCAAGUGCAAUGCCAUGUAGUCCACAAGCCUCCUCAAAACAACCUUCCAAUAGGCAAUCAUUCUCAUUUUAAGGUCAUAAGCUUGAGCUAACACAUGCGGGAACUUCCCCAGAACACCGACUUCAACUUCCCCGAUGCCUUCUAUAGUUAUGAUAGAAGGUUUUUUCUCGUCAGUUAAGACUCCAUGAAUGAAUUGAUUUUGACUAGCCAUCAACUUGUUCCAUUCUGAAACAUAAUCACCAUCACAUGUAUAAUCCGUCAGCUUUUCCAUCUCUACAAGCUCCAGCACCCACUUGAUUGACCUUUCCUUCAUCUUGGCCAUUAGAUUAUGGCCGGCACGCCCGGCUGACAGCCGCAGCUGACGAUAGUUCUCC
rnacentral:lncRNA from 1 species